GGCCUCCGCCGGUCCCGAGGCGUGACAGAUUAAUUUGGUAUCAGAGCGAGUUAAGAGCAAGCAAAGAGAGAGUCUAGGAUGGACCUAGGAGACCCUAGGACGGUGAACCCUAAGGUUAUAGGUGCGUGAGUGCGACGUGAACCUAUACGGUGGCGGAAGUUGAUCGAUUGGGUCAAGCCGAGCGGCGUGCGCCGCGGGAGGCCGAUUGCGAGUGACGACGAGCAAUCGGAACGCUGUAAAAAGGUGGGGGAGUGCCAUCCCGAAGUCAUCGGGCUUCUUCCUAUGUCUUAGUGUUUAUCCGUUCACAUGUAGCAUAUUGUAUGUUGCUAUGCAUUAUAGGAUGACAAUACAUGCAUUCCUAAUCCUUAUAUGAUGUUUAUGAUCAAUAUAGUAUUAUGAUAUGGAUAUAUGAUGUGAUGGACAUAAGGAUUAUGAGAUGACAUUAGUAAACCUAUGAUGCUAAAUGAGAGAAGAACCUAGUGUUGUGUUUGAAGACAUAGUUUACAAGUGGCAUUGAACUCAUUGUGCUAAAAACACAUAUGACUUGAGCUAGUAAUGGAUG
rnacentral:lncRNA from 1 species